AUAUGACUAUGACGAUUAAGUCAAGCAGCCCAAAACCAUCUGUUGUACCUAUAUUUACGUUUCAACUUAGACUUCGCUUGACCAGCGGGCAAGCUUUUGUUAAUUUAUUGGACUUAGCCCUAACGAUGAUAAAUGCAUAAAGUCAAUUUUGCUGGAUGAACGAAUAACCAAGUUAUGGCCAAAGGAUCAUUAAAUGACGAUAAGCGAACUCUUAACCAGGAGCCCAAGCUAAGCACACAUUUCCAGCCCGUACUACAUCGAGACAACUUAAAUGCUGGUUUUAAUUAAUUAACAAGUCGCAUUGAUCAAGAAACACUCAGCAAUAUAACCUACACAUACAUGUUUCAUGCCAAAAUAAAAAACGUUUUAAAAGUGCAAUUAAACCAUGACAGACCUGUGCAAAAAGUAUUUGGCUUUAAUUAAA